rnacentral:rRNA from 1 species
UUCCGUAGGUGACCUGCGGAGGGAUCAUUACCGAGUUUACAACUCCCAAACCCCUGUGAACAUACCUAUCGUUGCCUCGGCGGUGCCCGCUCCGGCGGCCCGCCAGAGGACCCCAAACUCUUGUUUUAUACAGUAUCUUCUGAGUAACACGAUUAAAUAAAUCAAAACUUUCAACAACGGAUCUCUUGGUUCUGGCAUCGAUGAAGAACGCAGCGAAAUGCGAUAAGUAAGUGUGAAUUGCAGAAUUCAGUGAAUCAUCGAAUCUUUGAACGCACAUUGCGCCCGCCAGUAUUCUGGCGGGCAUGCCUGUUCGAGCGUCAUUUCAACCCUCAAGCCCCCGGGCUUGGUGUUGGGGAUCGGCGUGCCCUCGCGGCGCGCCGUCCCCGAAAUCUAGUGGCGGUCUCGCUGUAGCUUCCUCUGCGUAGUAGCACACCUCGCACUGGAAAGCAGCGCGGCCACGCCGUUAAACCCCCCACUUCUGAAAGGUUGACCUCGGAUCAGGUAGGAAUACCCGCUGAACUUAAGCAUAUCAAUAAGCGGAGGAAA